UGCCUUAGUAACGGCGAGUGAAGCGGCAAUAGCUCAAAUUUGAAAGCUGGCCCCUUCGGGGUCCGCGUUGUAAUUUGUAGAGGAUGAUUCGGCGAGGGCUCCCGUCUAAGUCCCCUGGAACGGGGCGUCACAGAGGGUGAGAAUCCCGUAUGUGAUGGGUUGCUUUAGCCAUGUGAAUCUCCUUCGACGAGUCGAGUUGUUUGGGAAUGCAGCUCUAAAUGGGAGGUAAAUUUCUUCUAAAGCUAAAUACCGGCCAGAGACCGAUAGCGCACAAGUAGAGUGAUCGAAAGAUGAAAAGCACUUUGGAAAGAGAGUUAAAAAGUACGUGAAAUUGUUGAAAGGGAAGCGCUUGCAGCCAGACUUGUCCGCAGUUGCUCAGCCGGUCUCCUGACCGGCGUACUCUUCUGCGGCCAGGCCAGCAUCAGUUCGGGCGGUCGGAUAAAGGCCCCAGGAAUGUAGCUCCUCUCGGGGAGUGUUAUAGCCUGGGGUGGAAUGCGGCCAGCCUGGACUGAGGAUCUCGCUUCGGCUAGGAUGCUGGCGUAAUGGCUGUAAGCGGCCCGUCUUGAAACACGGACCAAGGAGUCUAACAUCUAUGCGAGUGUUUGGGUGUCAAACCCAUACGCGUAAUGAAAGUGAACGGAGGUGGGAACCGCAAGGUGCACCAUCGACCGAUCCUGAUGUCUUCGGAUGGAUUUGAGUAAGAGCAUAGCUGUUGGGACCCGAAAGAUGGUGAACUAUGCCUGAAUAGGGUGAAGCCAGAGGAAACUCUGGUGGAGGCUCGCAGCGGUUCUGACGUGCAAAUCGAUCGUCAAAUUUGGGUAUAGGGGCGAAAGACUAAUCGAACCAUCUAG
rnacentral:rRNA from 2 species